UUCGGGUUCCGGAUUUUAUGCCCAUGCCUAACUACAACAUCUAAUUGGUUACACAAUUUUCAAUAAAGUUAAAAAUAAUAUAAAAAUAUCAAAACAUCAUCUAUUUUGAAACAACAAAAAUCUUCUAAAACAUUAUAUUAUGAAACGGAUGGAGUAUAUGUGAAGCUUCGAUUGCAUCGUUUCACGUUCUUCUCCUCUUAAACGUUACUGAAUUUAUUGAAUCAUCGCCUUUAACCACCUUCUUAACUCGAUGGACUCAUUCAAUGCUUCUUAUCUCUCUUCUAUGAGGUGGAUCUACAUCUAUAAAAAGAUGCCCAUUAAAGAUCCUUCAAUCAAUCCUCCCAUUACGGCUCCCUUUUGGAAGGUCCGAAUGUUAAAAGGAGUUGACCUCACCAAUGUUGGACAAGAAGACAAUGAAGAAAAAGUGUUUUCCACUGCCACACACAUCACCAGAUCCAACGGCUUGAACCGUAUUCUCUUUUUUUUUUGCUCUACUCAAUUAUUUUCUCGAGCUCUUUCUUUUUGUUCUCUUAUGCAGAGCUUUCAAUGAGUGACAACAUCGAAACAGAGGAUGCAACUAAGCAGAUAAUUUGGUUUAGCUCCAAGAUGGAUUAAGUUUUGGUUUCAGAACCGAAGAACACAGAAAAGGUUUCCAACUUUUUACUUUCUCUCUUCCUAGCUUAGUCUCUUCUCCAAAACAAAACAAAACAAAACAAAAAGAGGAGUCGUUAGUUUUGCUUCUCCAUCUUCUCUUUGCGGGCACAACACGAUAGAGGUCAUAAUUGUGCACUCAAGAAGCUUUCAAACAUACCAUUUUCCUAACCUAUGGUGAUGCACUGAUGCUCCUGUUCAUGAAGACUCUUACUUUGAUGAACAGAAGCUUCGAGUCAAAAAUGCUUAGAGAAAAGCUAGAGAGGGCUUCAAGCAUUCCAGCUAAAUUCAUGGGGAUGCCACUUUCUCAUUCCCCACCACUACUAAACCAGAUGCACAUUUCUCCAUUAGAGUUACUCCACAGGGUUCCUUUGCUUGAUUUUGAUCUUCUUCCAGGAAAUUGUUCUUCAAUGGCUGCCUCGAGUUUACUGUCUUUACCAAACGUGGUUAUCUCUCAGACAUGGAUAUGUCUCUGAUGACCAACAUUGCUGUGAGUCUGUGACCGCUAUGGACGAAUUGCUUGGGCGCUUACAUAAAAACAAUGAGCCUAUGUGGACCAAAACAGAUAGAUGCCUAAACGUUCUCAAUCUCAAAAGCUUUGAGAAUGCAUUCCCAAGAUUAAAUAGUCAUGGAGGAAAGAACCACAACCUUCGAGUGGAAACAACUAGAUCUCCUAGCAUUUCUUCACUAAUGCAGUGACACCUGUGGAGAUUCUCAUGGACUCUGUCAAAGCUGCAGAGCCUUUUCCUUCAGUCGUUGCAACAUCUAAAACUCUUGCAGUGGUUUCAUCUGGAUUGCGUGGAGAUCAGGGAGAUGCCUAACAUUUUGACACAAUAAUGCUACAGAAAUCUGUGAAUAUAAAAUAUACUCCGACUCUCGCUUUUCAUGUUACCGCUCCACUAAGAAGCUAUCUGGUGAUUUGAUACUUCAUAAUAACUUUAAAAAAUUGAAAAAUAAUCUACAUUUUCAUCUUUUUAUCAUCCAGAUCAAAUCUAUUAACAACACAAAGAAAAAUAAAAAUUACCAACAAAUAAACGAUAAAAAACAAAAAUUGAAAAUACAUAAUAUAGUAAAAAUGCACAAUAUAAACCAAAAUAAAUAACAUUCAAUAAUACACAGGAAAAAAAUCAUAAAACCAAAAUUGUAAAAAAUAUUUAUUAUAUUGUUUUAAGAGAAAAUGGCCUAGAUAGCCCCAAACCAAGUUUUUGUUCUCAAACUAGCACUCAAGACCCAAAGUCACAAAAAUAUGUUUCAUUAAAGAGGAUCAUUUACUCUUAUGCCCCUUUCUUUCUCUAAUUAUAUUUUUUCUUCUGAAAAUUGAAAUCACGAAAGCACGACGACAGCUCGUCUCAUCUCCGGCGUCAAUAAUCUCCAGCAUGAAUCAUCUCGGCCUUCAUCAUCUCCGGCAUCGAUCAUCUCGUCCAUCAUCGUCUCAGGCGUCUAUCGUCUCCGGCGUCGUUCAUCUCCGCCGUAAUCAUCUCCGCUGUACUGCAUCGGAGGCACUCUAUAAUCCAGAUGUGUCUAAUGUGGAUCUGGAACCAUACAGUCAUUAGAGUCUGAACUUUCGAAGAAACUCGAGAUUACAGAGAAUGCAAAAGAGGAGAAUGACAAAGAAGAAGAAGAAGGAAGCAAAGCUGAGACUUCAACUACGAAGAAGAAGAAAAACAAGAAUAAAAGCAAGAAGAAGCCCCAUCAGACUGAUCUGCCUACAAUCCCUAUCGUGAAGUUUUUCCCAUCUGGAGACUUUCCUGAAGGUGAAAUCCAACAAUAUAAGGAUGAGUAAGUUCCAUACCAACAACUCUAUUCGGACCAGCUUUAUAGUAUGCAAUAAGCUUGUGGAUUUAGUUCAUAUAGCUUCUGUCUUGGCAUCUGUUAAACUCCAUCGUAUUUUUAGUCUUUUUCUUUUCAAUACUUUUUUUCUUCUCUUGUUACCUUUAUGACACUUUAAGAUCGUGAUCUCUGUAAUGUAGCAAUUUGUUGGUGUUUUAUAAAGAUACCACAUUUAACACUCUUGAUAUAAUUACUGAAAAUGUUUCAAGCUA